rnacentral:rRNA from 1 species
UGGGGAAUUUUGGACAAUGGGCGAAAGCCUGAUCCAGCCAUGCCGCGUGAGUGAAGAAGGCCUUCGGGUUGUAAAGCUCUUUUAGUCGGAAAGAAAGAGUUGCAAUGAAUAAUUGUGAUUUAUGACGGUACCGACAGAAAAAGCACCGGCUAACUACGUGCCAGCAGCCGCGGUAAUACGUAGGGUGCGAGCGUUAAUCGGAAUUACUGGGUUUAAAGGGUGCGUAGGCGGGCAUGUAAGUCAGUGGUGAAAUACCGGAGCUUAACUUCGGAACUGCCAUUGAUACUAUAUGUCUUGAAUAUUGUGGAGGUAAGCGGAGUAUGUCAUGUAGCGGUGAAACGCAUAGAUAUGACAUAGAACACCAAUUGCGAAGGCAGCUUACUACGUAUAAAUUGACGCUGAGGCACGAAAGCGUGGGGAUCAAACA